GGCCGCCUGGCGAAAUGGCAUCGCGUCUGACUACGAUAAUAGGAAGAAGGCAUAGAUCGUAUCAGGAGAUUGCAGGUUCGACCCCUGCGGUGGUCA